GACGCAGUAGGCCUAAUGGUUAGCGUGUUGGACUCUGGAUCGAGCGGCCCAGGUUCAAGCCCUGGCCGGGGUCA